UUUGAAUCCAUUGAACAGAAUGGAAGUUUUAUUGUUUACCCAACAGGAACAGCAUUAAGUGACAUUACUGGGAGAGUGUUGGUGACAUCACAGGGAACAGAGUUAUGACAGUGAUGGAUGCUAUACUGUGUCAACAGUCUCAUGGGAUUUGACAUGCAUCUGCUAUUGAGGCAUAUGAACCACAUUUAC
rnacentral:lncRNA from 1 species